UGUAAUGGUUAUAAGACGAAAACUGUCCAUUAUGUCAGAUAUUAGACGACCCGAGGCGCGUUAGCGCCGAGGAGAGUCUAAUAUCUGACAUAAUGGUCAGUUUGAGGCUUAUAACUUACUUAAAACAUUUCACCAUUGUCGAACACUUCCAUUGUUAACUUAUUGGACAGCCACAGGUAAGGUCUCAUUCUGCUUGGAUGACUACCUGGCACUGUUCAUCAAGUUAGGCCAAAGAAAACCAGUUUUGGUUUUUCUUCUGAUUUUAUUAAUAGUAGGAAUCAUCGAGAGGUGUUUUAUAUCGAUAAAUAUGAACAUUAACUUUGUUUAGUCUUAUUUGUCCGCAUUGCGACAUUUUUUAUCUAUACUACGCAUGCGUAAAAGUCAGUUCUACUAAAUUCUUGACAAUUUAUUCAUUUUACAACGCAGCGACGACGGAUGACGACGUGCGUUUUGAUUUUGAAAAAAUACUUUCAGAAUCGGGUGUUUUUUCGAUGCCAUUUAUCGAUUACACCAAAAUACCUCAGUUCAAGUUUUUACCAUGAAAUCCGGAUACAUAUUCUUAUGUUUCGGAGUUUCCCGUUAACAGGUUUCGAACUCGGAAGGAUUUUACCCCAGUCACUCCUUAAAACAACGACAGACACUCGCUCAAACGACGCAGGACUAGGUGGACAAAUGGUAAUAAAUCACUGAACGAAAUUACAGAUUCUGUUGGAAUUUCGUGAGCGAAAUUUUGUGCUAAAUGCGGAAAAAUGGAUAUUUCAAUAAACAAAAAGCCCAAGGUUGUGUGUAAGAAAAUGCAUUCUUCUCAUUCAUUCUUUGUGUCCAUUGGAUUCUAUAUUAUGUUCCGUGAAUCAAGCAUUGGGAAAUGAAUCUAUUAUAUAGCAAUGAACGGUGAAUUCAGGAACUUUAUGAUCGGAGCCACGGAUGCGUCUACAAUAAUUAAUCUGAGACAUUCAAUUCACUGGAUUUUUUGUGCCAUUUUCAAUAGGAUUUUUUGUGAAAUAUUAACAUUUAACGCUACUAUUUUCCUACGUUGUUCAUAUUAAAUUGUUUGAUUUGUCA